AACCGGGAUUGCCUUAGUAACGGCGAGUGAAGCGGCAAAAGCUCAAAUUUGAAAUCUGGUACCUUCGGUGCCCGAGUUGUAAUUUGGAGAGGGCAACUUUGGGGCCGUUCCUUGUCUAUGUUCCUUGGAACAGGACGUCAUAGAGGGUGAGAAUCCCGUGUGGCGAGGAGUGCGGUUCUUUGUAAAGUGCCUUCGAAGAGUCGAGUUGUUUGGGAAUGCAGCUCUAAGUGGGUGGUAAAUUCCAUCUAAAGCUAAAUAUUGGCGAGAGACCGAUAGCGAACAAGUACAGUGAUGGAAAGAUGAAAAGAACUUUGAAAAGAGAGUGAAAAAGUACGUGAAAUUGUUGAAAGGGAAGGGCAUUUGAUCAGACAUGGUGUUUUGUGCCCUCUGCUCCUUGUGGGUAGGGGAAUCUCGCAUUUCACUGGGCCAGCAUCAGUUUUGGUGGCAGGAUAAAUCCAUAGGAAUGUAGCUUGCCUCGGUAAGUAUUAUAGCCUGUGGGAAUACUGCCAGCUGGGACUGAGGACUGCGACGUAAGUCAAGGAUGCUGGCAUAAUGGUUAUAUGCCGCCCGUCUUGAAACACGGACCUCCUGUGUG
rnacentral:rRNA from 1 species